rnacentral:rRNA from 1 species
UUCGGGACGCCGGCGAGUGGCGAACGGGUGAGUAACACGUGGAGACCUGCCCUGGGGUGGGGGAUAACAGCUAGAAAUGGCUGCUAAUACCGCAUACGCCUUACGAGGGAAAGAUUUAUUGCCCCAGGAGGGUUCCGCGUCGGAUUAGCUUGUUGGUGGGGUAACGGCCUACCAAGGCGACGAUCCGUAGCUGGUCUUAGAGGAUGAUCAGCCACACCGGGACUGAGACACGGCCCAGACUCCUACGGGAGGCAGCAGUGGGGAAUAUUGCGCAAUGGGGAAACCCUGACGCAGCGAUGCCGCGUGGGUGAAUAAGGCCUUAGGGUUGUAAAGCCCUUUCAGUGGGAACGAUGAUGACGGUACCCACAGAAGAAGCCCCGGCUAACUCCGUGCCAGCAGCCGCGGUAAUACGGAGGGGGCGAGCGUUGU